AUUUAGGUAGGGUUAAAACUCGCUUCGAGCAUUUCCAAUGCACUUGUCACGGGUUUCUAACAA
rnacentral:tRNA from 1 species